AAAGAAUUAAAGGUGACCACUUCUUAUACUAAAACAGAGACGAUCAGCUUUGAAUUUAGUCUUUUCCCACUUUUAACAACAGUAAUUAUCGUGCUAGGGAUUUUAGAAAUAUAAGAAUGAAGGAGACAGACACUGACCUCGAAGAAUAUUCAUUGUAAUAAAAGAAGUGAGACCCAGACAUUAAAUGAAAUAGAAGUGAUAAAUAUCAUACAAAGGAGUAGUGGUACAAUUGGCAGCUCAGAGGAAGCUGGAUUACCUCCAACUGGGAAGGCCCCAUGGAGGGAACAGCAUGUGUGGUGGGCCCCGAUUUUGAACAAUGAAGAUGGACCUGUGUUUUCGGAAGAAGGAAUAGGUUUGGUCAAUUUGUGGAAAGGCUUUGUCACGGCCUGGGCGCCCCUGGAAACGGAUGUUGAGAUGGAGACCUGUGUGUUUUAUUUUACAUUUAUUGGAGUAUGCCUAGAGGGGCAACAUUUCUAAGGGAGAAGGAAGUGAGACAAGCAGAAUUGGGUAGAAGGAGUGGUUGAACUGUGAUGCAGCUGCAACAGAGGCCAAGCCAAUGCCAUGAGGAACUCUGAAGCUGAGAUGGCCCUUUAGAGACAUCCUGGGUGGAGGCAGAGGGGUGGGCUGGGCCUCUAUAUCUCGCAGUGAGUCAUCGAGUGUGAGUUGCCCCAGAGGCAGCUCCCUUCAGCCUAGGCAGUUCCUGGGGCAGGUCCCAGCUGUGAGCCAUCAGCAGGCAAGCAGCUGGGCAGCUGGAAUAACUAUAAGGGGGACCUGGGCGGCACACUGUAGCGUGCUCUACAGUUUUGGAUGUUGACGUAGGGAGAUGGGACCUUGUGUUAGUUUUCUAGGGCAGCUAUGACAAAGAACCACAGACUGGGUAGCUUAACAGAAAUUUAUUUUCGGACAGUCCUGGAGGCUUGAAAUUCAAGAUCAAGGUGUCAAUGAGGUUGUUUCAAGCCCAUCUCCUUCGCUUAAAGAUGGCUGCCUUCUCCCAGUGUCUUCACGUAGUCUUCCAUCUGUGUGUGUCUGUGUCCUAAUCUCCUCUUCUUACAAGGGCACCAGUUAUACUGCAUAAGGGCCCACCCUCAUGACCUCAGUUAACCUCAAUUACCUAUUUAAACACCCUAUCUUUAAAAGAGUCAGAUUCUGAGGUACUGGGGGUUAGGACUUUAACAUAUGAAUUUUGAGUGGACACAAUUUAGCCCAUAGAAGACUUCAUUUGUUUGGAGAAAGAAGAAUAUUAGAGGUUUUCUCAGGGUGAAUACUUACUAAAGGAUGUGCUUCAGAAAUCUGUGAGUAAUGAGAACACGGAUGGGAAGGAGAGAAAAAAGAUGGAGGCUAGUUGGGAAGCCACUACUUCAAUUCUGAAAUAAAUAAUAAAACCUGAACUAAAAUAGUGACAGCAGUGAUGGAAAACAGAGAAAAGAUGCAAAGGAUUUCUCAGAGUAAGCCUUGUUGGGACUCUCUAGUGGGUUGGAUGUGGGGAGCAAGGAAAAGGCAGAGGUUGAAGAUUGGCAGCUUGGAUAAGCACCUUCAACAGAACAGGGCACAUGAGAGUAGGAAACAUUUGCAUGCAAGCAAAAGAAAAAAAAAAGUGAUUAUUUGCAACACAUUAGGAUUGAGAUACCAACAAGAUCUCCAGGUUGAAAUGUCUAAUGCAGAUUGGAAAUAACGGGUGAGAAGGUUGGAGAGAUACAGUAUUAGACAUGUGGUUCUGGGAGUCACUUGUGGGUUAGCACAAUCUUUAGUUUGCAUGAGAUUCCCCACGGAGCCUGUCAAGAGCAACAAGAGGGUGAAUGACUGGUCAGGAGGUGAUGUCAACAUCAAGACAAACAAGGAAUGGUAAACAAAAGAGGAAAUAAAAGAAGGGACAGAGAGGGGCAAGGGAAGCAGAACAAGAGAACGUGCGUUAAGCCAAUGGAGAGGGUUUCCAGAGGCACACGUGGUUGCUCCUCAGUUAUUUGUUAGAUAAAUGGACCAGUGGAUAAAUGGCUAAAUAAGCAAAUACAAAUAUUUUCAGUCAUGAGCCUUGUGUUUCCCGCAGGCUAACAGACCUGUUUGUUUACCUUGUAAGUUAGCUUUCUGAGAACAAAGCAGUGGAAUUUUCCGAGGUGUCAAAUUCUAAAGAAUAGAAUUUUGUCAUCCAUUCUCCUCCUCAGAUAAAUGUUAAAAUGGAAACUCUACCUAGCACUCUGCUGGAAUUCACAACAUAGUAGCUGGAAACUUGUUGCCCAAGCUGCCAUCUUCAUCUGGCCAUGUAGGAGUCAUAUGAGAAUAAGACCUCACACAGAGGGCAGCAGGGAUGAAAAAGAGAAGAAACCAGGCCCUAGCAAUUUUAUUUACAUCCUGAUCAAACCUUUCCUGAUUUCAAUCCUAACUCUGGACUUUUCAGAGGAUCAGAGGAAAGGAUCUAACCAAAUCCCCACGAUGAGAAGCAGUCCCUGGAACCAGAAGUGGAAGUGUCAAAACUCUCACCAGAAAGCUAGCUAUGAGAGGUUCUAUCCAAGCUGGCAAGCCCAGGUGGUUUGGAAAGUACAAAUAAGAGACCAAAUUGUCGGGGAAAUGAGGACUAGAAUCCUGGAGGGCAGUGUGACACUUUGCUGUCUUUAAAUUUGAAAAGAUUUAUUGGUCAGAUCUGUGUAUGAUGAAAAAGAAGUGCCAAACAUCCAGGAGAAAUUAAAUUUCACGAGAGGUAAAAAUAAGUCAAUAAGAGCAUUUAAAAGUUAAAUGACAAAUUUGUAGAAUUAAUUGCACUAUGAAUUUUAGAUAUGCGAUCUGGUAGGGUGCCAUAUUACAGAGGGGUCUUACUGCAUUGGAUUACUUAGAUCCCAGCACGUCUUAAAAACAUUCAGGUCCUUUCCCCAACAUUACUUCUUUUUGGAGUUAACUUGACAGGAGAUUACUAGUCUGUUAUGCUAAUUAUUUGAUGAUCUUUUACUUUCACCCAUUUAGGUCACUAAUAAGAUGCUCCACUUGACCUUCCUGUAAUUGAUUCUCCAGAAUGAUUAUUUUCAAUGCCAACCCAAUCCCAGCCUGCCCCUGGUUGAAACCCUCCAGUAGCUCCUCAUUCCUAACAGGACAGGACCUGACCCCACCUCCCACUUAGCAACAUGGGAAGAGACACACCUCUUCUCGAUCUGGCCCUCAUUUGCUUUUCUGGACUCACAUGUCCCCAUCUGAUACCUAGUCCUUGCCCCAGCCGUAAGGAACUUCUUUUAGUUCCUGACCUGGAGGCUGGGUCCCUCUUCCCUCUCUGCCUUCUGGGAUUCCAUACUUGGUAUUCCUUCUACGUGGAAUAUUAUUCCCACCCUCUCACCCCUACAACCACAGCUUCCAUUGACCAUGCCUACUCAUCCUCCAGAUCUCAGCUUUAGUGUCACUUUCUCUGGAAAGCCUUCUGUAAGCUGGAAGUCCCUGCUGUGUGACCCUUCUAGGCACUCCCAGACUUGACCCCAUCAGCACUUAGCCCACUGUAUGGUGAUUGCUCGCUCACUUGUGUAGAUCCGCUGUUAAACUGUAAGGUCUAUGAGGAUGUGUAGUGGGCAGAGUAAUACCCCCCAAGAAUGUCCACAUCGUAACCCUGGAAACCGUGAGUAUGUGAUGGUACACAGCAAAGGGAAAUUAAGGUUGCAGGUGGAAUUAAGGCUGAUAGUUAACUUUAAGGUAGGGAGAUUAUUCUGGAUUAUCUAGGUGGGCCCGAUGUAAUCACAAGGGUCCUUAAAAGUACAAAAGGGAGGCAGAAGAGGAAAGUCAGAGAGAGGUAUGAGUAUGGGAGAAUGAGCGGAGAGAUGCAAUGUUGCUGGCUUUGAAGAUGGAAGCAGGGAGCCCUGGGCCAAGGAAUGUGGGCAGUCUCUAGAAGCUGGAAAAGGCAAGGAAAUGGAUUCAUUCCUAGAGCUGCCAGAAGGGAAUGUAGCCCUGCAGAUGCCUUGAUUUUGGCCCAGUGAGGCCCAUUUUGUACUUCUAACCCACAGAACUGGAAGAUAAUCAAGUUGUGUUAUUUUAAGCCACGAGGUAUAUGGUAAUUUGUUAGAGCAGCAAGAGAAAAAAUAACACAGGAAAGAAAUGCUGUCUCUCUUGCUCACAGUUGUAGCCCAAGGUCCAUAAUAGUCCGUGGAAUGUGGUAAAUGGCUUGAUAGCCAUUCAUUGAAUGGGAAACUAGAAUGUCAGGCCAAGGAAUGGCUCUGGAGGAAUGCUCUGUAAGUAUCCAUGUUGCUAAUUGUGAUGCUCAUCGCCUUCUUCCAAUCAUCCUGCCUGUGAAAGGUGAUCCUCCAUUGUGUACUUAUUUCCCUUUUCUCUUUCUUGCUAAAGAUGAAGAAUAUUUUUCUAUUUGGAAGAAGGUAAGACGAUCCAUAUACUAAAAGACAUGAGAGAGAAGAAAGGUGAGAAACUGGGCCAGGAGAGAAAGUUGUAGCACUCUAAGGAGGACAGAGUAAACGAAAGGCUAGGAGCACUGAAGCAUGCUGUAAGGACUUAUGAUGGAUGUCAUUGAGGGUUAUGAACUAGAUCUGCAUUAAUGCUCUCUGUAAGACAAAAGUCUAAGAUGGGAUUAUUUUAAAGUCACUUAUGACUAUUAAAUUGUAUGUCUGUAGAAAAACUUUCUGCAAAGGCUGAGUUUGGCCAUUCUACAUUUAUUAGGGUUCCACUUCUUUUGACACAAUAGCACAAUGAUAGGGACACACUGUUAAGUCCAUUUUGGGUGUGUGAAGUUGAAGCAAACUAGGUAUAUAUCUCUGUCAACUGAACAGUAUUUUUUUUCCAGCUAAUUGAGCUCCUGGGAAACAAGGACAUGAGCUCUUGGUUCAUUACGUUCAAGAUAAGUCCAGCAACAUGUUGAUUUAUCUGGGCACCUUUGGAAUCCUUCAUAAGCAGCUGGGUUCACACAGGAGCCACAGAGGCAUCAAAAAGCCCCUGGAAGAAUUUAGUUAAUUGCCAUUACACUCACAGUUAUGUUACACUUUUGUUAGUUGCUUUUCUCCUUUUGUAAAGCUUAAGUGAGAAGAAGCUUUGCUUUUAAUAACUUAACUUUUAGUAAGAAGAUAUUUUGUACAUUAAAUCUGUAAGCAAUUUUCUUCAAAAUCCAGCUACAAAGAAGCUAAAAUGAAAGGAAACUGUUCUGAAAAAAAUUUCCCAAUAUUUUGGAACUUAAGAAGAGUGAGGAAAAUAAAGUUGCCAUGGAUACUAAAAAGAAAACAGUAGAACUUUUUCCAAAAUUCCUAGGUUAUAGGAAAAAAAUAUCUUUGAAUUGCAAGCUUGGAGAAAAUUUGUGACGUCCAUUUUCUGUACAUUUGCUAAAUAGGACAAGAGCACUGAAAUAAUACAGAUGCCAAAGGUUGAUUUUUAAAGACAAAAUUGGCUGUCAUCCUUGUAACAGCACUGACAGAGCAAUUGUGUUUCAUGUUGAAAAGCCCACAGGCACCAGGAGCAAAGCUAUAGACCUGUCUCCAGUGCUUCUCACCAGUGACACACAGCGAUAUGAAUAUUUCAAUGGCAUUUCUGAAGUUUCCCUUUCAGGAAAUGUUGGGCUGGUUUAAUCCAUUAACCCCUGAAGACACCAGAUUUAUAAUACAAACCUUAAAGUUCACGGAUUUAGCUUAGUAGCUAAAACCACUUCUUUUCUCUCUUCCUAAGAGCCUAAAUUUUCUGCUCUGAGGAGUAAGUCAGGAACAACUCAGGCUUGUGUUGCCUAACUUGCAGAUGCUUAUUUUCAAACCUCUGUUUACUUGUGAAGAUAAAGCACGCAUCUUAAAAAUAAAUUAAAACAGCAAAAGAAGGUUUACAAUGAAAAGGCAUCCUUGAAAUUAUAAUUAUGGUCUUUUGUUACGAUUUGCUAAUGGCUGACGCCUCCACUAGACUGUUCUCUCCAAGAGGGGAUUGGAUUAUUGUAUUCAGUCAGCAAUUGUGACAGCAGGUUCCUUAGUGUCCAGCGUAGAGCUUGGCAUAUCACGGCCUCUCAAUAAAUAAUUCUUGGUUGAAAACAUCAGAGGAAACAAGCUAUCUGAUAUAAGCUCAAGUCUACAAAUGAGACAUGAGGUGACGUGUCUAAGAAAAUGAAGUGGGUUGUGGCAGAAAUUUCACUAGAAUCCAGAAUGGACCCCAGGCUGCAUGACUCCCACUCAGUGUUCUUAUUACCACAGUCAGUUUAAAUGGAAAUUCUUUUCCUAAUAAUCCUCAAGGCAAGAGUCGCAUGGCAACUAGAUUAAAGAACUCUGUAGGGCUCUUGUCUUCCAUUCCAAAUUAAAUGCAUCCAAGGUACCUAUGACUUGCCCACCAGUUUCAGGUGUAGAAGGUGAAGAAUUAAGGAAAGCUCCUCCAUUAGAAGAUGAAGGAUGGGUGCUAUGUGUGGUCUUGGCAUCUCAAACAAACAAACAAACAAACAAAUGUGGAACAAUGUACGUCAAGCCAUCACCUAUCUCCUUAGUUGCUUCUCUUAUAAAGGAGUGAACGAGAAGUGGAGAGAGAAAAUGAAAUUGUUAAAUCUUAAAAUUUCACUCACCAUCCACUCCUAUCCAAGGGUAGGGAAGCUUAUUUCACUUCUUAUGAAACUGUGGAGAUUAGGGAAUAAAGAGUUUCACAAAACACUCCCCAAUUCUUGUUUUCAUGACCUGUAGCAUCUAUAGGUACCUCCUAUUAUCAAAUUUCCAGAGAGAAAUGCAAGUCCAAGAAAUGAAAUAAAUUCCCUCAAAUUAAAUGAAAAGAAACUACAGUCCAGAUUUCUGCUUUCCUUGAUCUCUCCUCCUGCUCUGUCCCAAUCGGAGGGAACUCACAAGGACACUAGGUGAGAGUUGAGUGUCCCCCUGCAGCAGCUGCAUCCCCAGCUUUCUUCCCAGGAAGUGGGGGGAGGGGAGUUUCUUCUGCACCUACAAAGUUGAAUUAGUGUUACCACGAGCCCUUCAUGGAUCUCAAUUUCCAAUGAGUCAACAAGUCAGUGGGAUAUAUAGAAUACAUUGGCUCUAGCCCUGCAUCCACAAAAUUUAGAAGCCAACAUGGCAUUCUCCAACUACCUCGAUAAGUAUAUCAAACAGAUGUAUGUUCUCAGAAGUAAAUAAAUAUUUCAGUGCCGAUCCCCACUGCUGUGGAGUGCAAUGAGCCAAGAGCCACAGCAGUGAAAUCUUAGAGAAGAGAGAAAGGAAGCAAUCUCCCUGAUUUGAGACUUAUAAGAUGCCAGCUAAUUUCUAAACCUGAACUCCAUUGCUGUAAGAAAUUUCCUUUCAUGCCCUAUCAUCCCAAAUCCCCAGGGAAACAUCCAUCUUGCAAACUGAUUCUGUUCUCAAGUAGAGAUAUUUUCAACAGUCUAUCUUCUUGCAAAAUUUAGGCAUUUGCUGUGGUGAGGUCCCAGGAGAAGUGGCCAGCACAUCAACAGUAUUGCUCUCCCGUGGCAUCCUGAUGGGGGACUAUCCAUGGGCUCCAUCUAGAGACAGCUUCUACUUCCUUUUACAGGAAAUGGCAUCUGAACAGAGCAUGAGUAAGCUUCAAGUGACUUCUCCGGCAUAUUGAGAAGAGCUCUCCUCUUUGCAGGAGUCAGAAAGAUGAUAGCAGAUGGAGCACUGGACGGGGAGCAGUGCUCCUGCUUGCAUUUCCGUGAGGUCGGCUUCCUAACCUAACUGGACAGCCUCACACUCCUCCUAAAGGAGGUGUCGCAGCCCUUCAAGUGACGAGAAUAUGUGCGAAAGCCCUGAGGCAGGAGUGUGCUUGGCACAUCUAUGGUACAUUAAGGACUGCAUAGUAGCUGGAGCCCAGAUCAAAGGGGAGCAUGGACAGAGAAGACGUCAGAGAGGAACCAGGAGCAAGAUCAUGUAGGUCCCUGACAACAAGAAUGGAGACUCCUCUGAGACGAUAUGGCACACAGAAGAAUUUGAGGGCUCAAUGGCAGAUGAUCACAGAAGGGGGGUGUCUCUCAUGGAAUUCUAAGAUGGAAGCCUUUUGUAAAGAUAAUGACAGCAUAUUGGAGGUAACGAACAACUUGUGGAGGGUUGAGACUGAAAUCAAUGACUACACAUAAAGCAAUUAUGCUGCACGGCAUAAAAGAGAUGCCGCGCUCUCCUCAGAGCUUAAUCCCUCCCUGAAAGAGAAUUGAGAAAGACAUUCGGGCUGCCAAUGCUGCACUGAGGUGAGAAAACUGAAGUCAGAGGUUAAGUCAUUGGUCCAAGAUCGCACAGUGAUGAAGUGCCAGAGCUAUGACUUUACUUCCAGGGCUGUUUGACUCCAAGGACUUCUGCAUUUUAUUGUCCUGCUUGCACUUGGCCCUGGGGUGAACCAAGGCAAUAGCAAGCUGACACUCAUGCUUGGUGUAUGAAUGAGGACUCUCAGUGGCGUCCCUAAGAGGGCAUCCAAACUAGUAUGAUCUUGAUUACCUGUUUAAGAUCUAAUUUUCCCUUAACACAGAUAUUGGGAAAGGACUCUUGGAAAAGGCAGGAAUUCUGGGCUUUGGCCCCAUGCUCGGGGACUCCCUCCUGGGUUUCUCACAGUAGUGUGCGUGUGGUUUACCCCAGCUCCUCCUCCUGCCAGCUGGAGGGUCAGUUUAGUUAAACAAACAUUUAGUGAGCAGGCACUUCCUAAGUAAACUACACCAGUAUUAGAUCUGGAAACAAGAAACAAAUCAAGCUCCCUCUCUGACCCUGAGGCCUGACAAUUUAAUCUCUUCUACUUGCAUUGUCCUUCCACUCCAACCACAGGCAAUUGAGAGUCACAUUAGCUACACAGCCUUCUGCUGUAAUUUGAGAAUUGUAGGCUGCGUGUUCCAGGCCUGCUCUGUCACUAAAGGGCCAUGGGCCUGUAUCACAGUCUCUACAUGAGAUGGCCAUGUGGCAACUGCCCCUCCUCAUGUCACACAAAUAUCUUUCAUCUUUUCAUUAUGGACUAGGACAUAACUCUCUUCUGAGAGCUGGGGCUGCCUUUUGCUACAGGAAGAAGAGGGUUUGCUCCUUGUUCUUCAGGGUCUCAGUUUCUACGUCACUUUAGUUCCUACACACUUUCUUUCAUAGUUUGAUGGGUGUCUGUUUCAAUAAACUGCGUGUUUGUUACUGGCAAUGCCAGUGGGAGGUAGUUUUUUUAAGUGUCCCUAUUUCAGGCUCUGAGGGAGCAUCUUAUAACAUCUUUCCAGGUUUCCUUCUCUUAUUUUUGGUGACUGUCUCUGUGCUAAAAACAAACAUAAUUCCCAUGUACUAUCCCUUUUCAGCAUUUUUAUUUUGGAGAUGACUGUGCCAACAAAUGAGAAUCAGAAUGAGAAGGUUUAUCUUGUAUUCCAAGAAAAGUGAAAUUAAAACCAGUUGAUGCUGUUAAAAUUCAAAAUGAGUGACCUUCUUAUAGAGAAACUUUGAGUAGAUCCAUUGUUAAUAUGUACUCUAUAUGGGUGCCCCUCAUGGCACCAGGAUACAUCCACUUUCCCAGUGGCUGACCUGAACGCUUCUGCCUACUUGCCAGUCUUUGAAGCUUUGGAACCCAAGGAAAGGAUCAUGUGCCUAU
rnacentral:lncRNA from 1 species